rnacentral:rRNA from 1 species
UGGGGAAUAUUGGACAAUGGGCGAAAGCCUGAUCCAGCCAUGCCGCGUGUGUGAAGAAGGUCUUCGGAUUGUAAAGCACUUUAAGUUGGGAGGAAGGGCAUUAACCUAAUACGUUAGUGUUUUGACGUUACCGACAGAAUAAGCACCGGCUAACUCUGUGCCAGCAGCCGCGGUAAUACAGAGGGUGCAAGCGUUAAUCGGAAUUACUGUGCGUAAAGCGCGCGUAGGUGGUUUGUUAAGUUGGAUGUGAAAUCCCCGGGCUCAACCUGGGAACUGCAUUCAAAACUGACUGACUAGAGUAUGGUAGAGGGUGGUGGAAUUUCCUGUGUAGCGGUGAAAUGCGUAGAUAUAGGAAGGAACACCAGUGGCGAAGGCGACCACCUGGACUAAUACUGACACUGAGGUGCGAAAGCGUGGGGAGCAAACA